GCCGGGGUGGCGAAAUCGGUAGACGCUGGGGGCUUAAAACCCCCUGGGAGAAGUCCCGUGUGGGUUCGAGUCCCACCCCCGGCA
rnacentral:tRNA from 1 species